AGUGAACGCUGGCGGUAGGCCUAACACAUGCAAGUCGAACGGCAGCACAGUAAGAGCUUGCUCUUACGGGUGGCGAGUGGCGGACGGGUGAGGAAUACAUCGGAAUCUACUUUUUCGUGGGAGAUAACGUAGGGAAACUUACGCUAAUACCGCAUACGACCUACGGGUGGAAGCAGGGGAUCUUCGGACCUUGCGCGAUUGAAUGAGCCGAUGUCGGAUUAGCUAGUUGGCGGGGUAAAGGCCCACCAAGGCGACGAUCCGUAGCUGGUCUGAGAGGAUGAUCAGCCACACUGGAACUGAGACACGGUCCAGACUCCUACGGGAGGCAGCAGUGGGGAAUAUUGGACAAUGGGCGCAAGCCUGAUCCAGCCAUACCGCGUGGGUGAAGAAGGCCUUCGGGUUGUAAAGCCCUUUUGUUGGGAAAGAAAAGCAGCAGGUUAAUACCCCGCUGUUCUGACGGUACCCAAAGAAUAAGCACCGGCUAACUUCGUG
rnacentral:rRNA from 1 species